rnacentral:rRNA from 1 species
GAUCAUGGCUCAGAACGAACGCUGGCGGCGCGUUUAAGCAUGCAAGUCGAGCGGCAAGGGCCUUCGGGCCCCUAGAGCGGCGGACGGGUGAGUAACACGUGGACAAUCUGCCCCCCGGCCCGGGAUAGCCCAGGGAAACCUGGAUUAAUACCGGAUGAAACGGGACCCGCGAAGGCGGGACCCGGGAAAGGCGCUGCGGCGCCGCCGGGGGAUGAGUCUGCGUCCCAUUAGCUAGACGGCGGGGUAACGGCCCACCGUGGCGACGAUGGGUAGCCGGCCUGAGAGGGUGGACGGCCACAUUGGAACUGAGACACGGUCCAGACUCCUACGGGAGGCAGCAGCUAAGAAUCUUCCGCAAUGGGCGAAAGCCUGACGGAGCCGACGCCGCGUGAACGAAGAAGGCCGUGAGGUUGUAAAGUUCUUUUCGGGAGGGGGAACAACCGUGGCAGGGAAUGGCCGCGGGAUGACGUGAAUCCCGGAAUAAGCCCCGGCUAACUACGUGCCAGCCGCUGC